rnacentral:rRNA from 1 species
GAUGAACGCUGGCGGCACGCCUAACACAUGCAAGUCGAACGAAGUAGCAAUACUUAGUGGCAGACGGGUGAGUAACAUGUAGGUAUCUACCCUUUGGCCUGGAAUAACACGAGGAAACUUGUGCUAAUACCGGAUAAGUCUUUUGGGAGAAGCUUUUAUGCCACAUUGGAUGAGCCCGCAACUGAUUAGUUUGUUGGUGGGGUAAUGGCCUACCAAGACUGUGAUCAAUAGCUGAUUUGAGAGGAUGAUCAGCCACACUGGGACUGAGACACGGCCCAGACUCCUACGGGAGGCAGCAGUGGGGAAUUUUCCGCAAUGGGCGAAAGCCUGACGGAGCAACGCCGCGUGAGGGAUGAAGGCCUCUGGGCUGUAAACCUCUUUUAUCAAGGAAGAAGAUCUGACGGUACUUGAUGAAUAAGCCACGGCUAAUUCCGUG